GCGGAGGCGCGGGGCGGGCGCAGGGGGGGGCCGGCCCCGCCCUUCCUUCUUCCCUCCCUUUCCCGGCGACCCCGCCGAGGCAGGUCCUUGGAGGCAGAUGUUCCAAGCAGCCAAGCCCAGGAAAGCCCCCUGCGCCCCACAGUCUGUCUCCAGCCCCCUUCCCCUCCCCCGCAGGCCUGGGGGCCUGCUGGGGGCCUGCUGGGCGCCUGCUUCCCCAGAGAUGCUAAUGAGUUUCAAUCUUAGGAGAAAACAUAUUGAGGCCUGCUGUUCCAUUCCUUUGUUUUACAGGUGGAGAAACGUGACCUGAGAGGAGAAAAGAUUGGCCCGGGGUCCUAAAGUAAAUCAGAGUCCAAGCAGCCUCCAGCUCUCAAUGCCCUGCCCGUCUGCUGACCACCCUGCAGACAUGGAUUUCCCACUGGCCGUGCUUCUGUUUCAGGAACUGGGAAUGAGGAAUUCCUGAGGUUUCCCGGUUUUCGGGGAGUGAGAAGGCUGAUGCAAGUGUCACCAGGCCAAAACCAAGGGGUUAGUAGGACCAGGUUCCUUAGGGGAGCCUCCAGGGAAAAGUCCACUUCUUCACUCACUCAGGAUCCUGAGGCCCAGAUUCACCCAAGGACACACAGCAAGUCAGUGAUGGCCCAGACUAACCCUGCUCUUCUGACUUUAACCAAUAUUUAAAGUCGGGCUGUAUACAUCUCAUGGCCCCAACCCAUGAGUCCUGAAGACAUUUUACUUCUUUUCAGCACCACUCAGAAACCAACAGAGUACAAGAAACACAGAAAAUGUUUGGGCUUCCCUGAGACCCACUUACUCAACUCUAGCCCUGAAGUCCUGUAGAAGGACACGACUUCCUGCCAGCCUGAGCGUCCACUCAUUAGUUUCUGGUGUGUCAAUAUCACAAUCUUCCUCAUCACUAAUCUUGCCUAGAGUCUUUCAUGGCAUCAGCCAAAGAGUGCUUCUCUCUAGAACUUUUCUGUUCUCAGUCUAAUAACGUGUCUGUUUAACUCAGGUCUGGAACCCUCAGCAAGGGCUGUGAGUCUCUCCGCAGAGUGUAAGUGCAGCUCCAGAAAGCACUGGCUCUCUCUGGAUGUCAGCCAGGCUGUAAACCAGACACUGGAGUCGGGGGCAGCAAUGGGGGCAAACUGGGAAACCAAAGUGGCAGUUCAGAAAGCCCCCCGGUUUCUGAGUUCUUCAAACGGUUCUUUAAAGCCAACCACUGUUUGCCUCGGUUGAGAAUCUGCUAAGCGCACUUCUGCUAAGCCAAAUAAGCCCGUGUUUGUCCCUUCAUUCAUUCCUCAGACAGGAUCCUGCAAAGCCAGCUUCUGUUAUGCACCAUAAAUCCAUACUUGUCUAAUAAUCCUCAAAGACCUUACACGGCUAAUCACUUUUCAAAUAUUUAUGAGCCCCAGAGAGGAGAUUUAUGUUAAGCUGCUUGGCAAGGAACAAUAGAGUGUACGGGCCUAGAGAACAUUCUGUUGAAACAAAUAUUGUCAAGACAUCAAUAUUUUUAUAGCAUUUUUCAUAAGGGACUUUUCACACCUGCUCAUUUCCCUAAUUAUCCCUGAGACUUUUACACUUUCAGAGAGAAUGAAAAUGGAAUUUUUUUUGAAAGAUCAUUAAUUUGAAAAAUUAGCUGCUAUAUAAAGAAAAAUACAUACUCAGGCACAGCCAUUACUAAAAAUAUAGUCUUGAGAUGGAUGCACAGGGAGAGAGAUACUAAGUUGUUAUGGCAACUAUCAUUCUAAUUACAAAGCUGGAGGGUUUUUCUCAUUCAUUACUGUGUUGAGAUGUGCUAGUUUAAAUGGCAAUGUCCUUUGUAAUGUCCUCAAUCUCAUUACUACGUAAUUACCCAUUUCAUAUUUAAUUUUCAGUAUGUCUGUUCUUAGUCCCAUGCCCUGUACAUUUGGCAUCUUUUGAUAAGCCCUAUUCUCAGUUCAUGGGUCCCUUUUACAGCUUGAUUCCUCUCCUUGCUAUUCCCUCCACUCUGUGGUUUCAUUUUCAAUUUGACCUUUGGGACACUUGCUUUGGCCUGAGGUAUUCCAUUUGUAAACAGUGAGACGCUGUUGUGAAAGCUCUUAAGAAACGGCAUGAACAGGCACCCGGGGAGACUCUGAGCACAGGAUACAUCGGAGCCUGCUGAGCAGCUUCGGAGACACUGCACUUCUCGGCAACCUACUAUGUGCAGGAUUAUUUACGGAAGUGAUCACAUUUGACCUUUUUGCUGGGUUCUCUGUUCGCACUCCCUCUGGGCUCCAGCCCUCUGGGCUCUCCUCUGUAUCUGGGAGGCUGAUCCUUAUAAAUUAGUCCUCUUGUCCUUUGGUUGCUGAUUGGGAUUGACCAAUGGAGAUAGGAAGAUGAGAAGGGGCUCUGGGUAUUUCCUCCCCUUUCCCCACACUUCCAUGCCCCCCACGCACUUUGGUCUCAGGGGUGGUGGCUACAUCUUUGGGCUUCCCUGAGACCCACUUACUCAACUCUAGCCCUUAAGUCCUAUGGAAGGACACGACUUGCUGCCAGCCUGAGCCUCCACUCAUUAGUUUCUGACAUUCUGGAGCUGCUCCUGUGGUCACUUAAUGCAUGAAGCCUAAAAGACAAGAAGCCAUCAUCUCCAUGGAGUUGAGAUUUGCAUGAAGAGGAACUCAAUGUGAGAAGCCAAGAAGCAAAGCAGAGGAAGAUGCUGCCCCAGCCCCCAGCCCCCCACCCAUCACUGCCACAUGGGUGAGGCUGCCAUGCUCUGGCCCAGAAUCAGAAGCAAGGGUUUGGAAGGUCUGAGCUCAGUCAUCUCUCUUCCUUUCCUCUCAGUCAGGGUACAGGGCUCUCUGAAACAGCAAUGCCAAAUGCAGGUGGUCCACAUACUCUCUGAGGCCCCAGGGCUGGGAGAGACCUCCCAUACCUGUAGUCCACUGUCAGGCAAUCGGACCCCAAAUCAGGGGUCUCACUGAUGUUUCUGCAAGAGAACAUCUCUGCCUCUCCCCACCAUACAAGAGACACUGAAGUUGGGAGGAUAGAGACUAAAAAUACAAUAAACUAUUAUAAACUUAAUGACUUUGAAAAUCUGAUGAAUACCUAGAAAAAUAUAAAAUGCUAGAGCUGACACAAAAAUAGGGAACCUGAAUAGACCAAUAAUAUUAAAUAAAUUAAAAUGGGAGUCAACCAAUCUUUAUUUUUAAAAAGCUCUAAACCAGGUGCAAUAACACACACCUAUAGUCCCAACUACUUGAGAGGCUGAGGCAAGAAGAUUGCAUACGCCCAGGAGUUUGAGGCUGCGGUGCUCUAUAAGCACGCCUGUGAAUAGCCACUGCGCUCCACCUGAGCAACACAGUGAGACCUUGUCUCAAAAUAAUUUUUUUUAAUUGGCCAGGAGUGAUGGUGUGCACCUGGUCUUAGCUCCUUGGGAGGCUGAGACAGGAGGAUUGCUUGGGCCCAGGAGCUUCAGGUUAUAGUGAGCUAUAAUUACACCACUGCAAUCCAGCCUGGGCAGCAGAGUGAGACCCUGUCCCAAAGGAAAAAAAAAAGUUCCAGAUCAUUUUUCAGUUUUCCAGUUGAAUUUCCUAAGCUUUUUAAAAAGCUGAUAUUCCCACCUUAUAGAAAGUAAUUUUUUUUCUUUUUUGAGAUGGAGUUUUACUCUUGUUGCCCAGGGUCAAUCAUGUGGUGCAACUUCCACCUCUCAGGUUCAAGUGAUUCUCCUGCCUCAGUCUCCCAAGCAGUUGGGAUUAUAGACAUGUACCACCAUACCUGGCUAAUUUUUUGUUUUUUUUUUAAUAGUACAGAUGGGUUUUCACCACAUUGGCCAGGCUGGUUUUGAGCUCCUGACCUCAGGUGAUCCUCAAGUCUCAGCCUCCCAAAGUAAUGGAAUUACUGGCACAAGCCACCGUACCCAGCCUGAAAGUUUUCUUUUACAGAAAAUAGAAAAAGAGGGGAAUUUACUUUGAUAAUUUUAUUAUGCUAAUGUAAUCUUAAUUCAAAAACCAGAGAAUGAAAUUAUUAAAAAGGAAUAUAAAAUAUUUAUUUCAUUAUAAAUAUAGACAUCAAAAAUCUUAAGUCAAAUAUUAGCUAAUUGAAUUUUAUUUUUAAAAUACAUAAAGUAUAAUUAAGUAGGCUUUAUUUCAGGAAUACAGAAAUGGUUCAACAGUAGAAAAUCUACCUAUAUAAUUUAUCCUAUCAACAGAUCAAAAGAAAAAAGUUGUGUGAUUAUCUAAAUCAAUGAAUUAUCUGAAUUAGAAAAGCAGUUCAUAAAAUAUAGCAUCUGUUUGAAGAUGUCCUGUACGAAUGGCAAGAUAUCUAUGCCCUUGCCUGGGGCAAAUGGAAUCAAAGAUUCAAGUCUGGCUGGGCAUGGUGGCUCAGCCCUCUAAUCCUAGCACUUUGAGAGGCUAAGGUGAGAGGAUCACUUGAGCCCAGAAAUUCAAGAACAGCCUGGACAACACAGUGAAAACUUGUGUCUAUAAAAAUAAAAAUGGAAUAGUGGCAUUUGCCUAUAGUCCUAGCUUCUCAGGAGACUAAGGUGGGAGGAUUGCUUGAGCCUGGGAGGUCAAGGCUGCAGUGAACCAAGAUUACACUAUUGCACUCCAGCCUGGGCAACAGAGCAAGACCCUGUCUCAGAAAAAAAUACUUAAUUCUUCCUUAACAGAUUAAUCUGUA